rnacentral:pre_miRNA from 1 species
UCAUUUUGGGCUCUAGUUCGAUUGGUGCAGAUCGGGAAUCGCCUGCGGAGAUAAAGAGCCUGGAGAUCAAGAGGACGAUUCCCCACCUGCAUCAAUUGAACGGGGGCCAAAGAUGA